UUUUGUUGACUUUUUUCAAACUCACAAAUAACUAAGGAUGAAAUUGCCAACUUGUUUUCAGUUUGUUUUCUUUGCAAAUAUCCAAAUAUACAGGAAAAAAACAUUGAAAAACAAAUUGUAUACUAAUACUAUAUUUUCUAUACAAAUCUUUAAAAACAGAAAUCAAUAGAAACAAUUCACAACCAAUUAAAGCUAAGAAAAUGGAUAAAAAUAACUCCAUAAUACAACACACAAUUACAAAAUUACAAAUUUACUACUCACAGAAUUUGAC
rnacentral:lncRNA from 1 species